UUCUUCAGGAACCAAGAGAAGACACUGAUCCUGAGGGGGCUGGAGCAGCUCCAGGUCAGUGUCCGGGCCGAGACCAGCAUUGGAAGAGAAGGUGUGCGGCUUAGCAUGGAGACCAGGAGGGGAAAUGGUGAGGAAAGAGGGCAUACCAAGACGCCCUGCCCAGGAUGACUAUCACUGGAAAAUGAGAAAGGAUGUGGAGCUCAUUGUGUAUUUUUAUGACGUUGAGCGGAUUUAAUCCUUUUCUGCCUAGGGCUGUUCACUCUUCAUGAAUGUCUUGGGGAUUUGGCCAAUUGUGAGAAUGUUUCUGGUGAUAUUAAACCUCAUUUUAUGAGGUUGGUGGCCAUUACUUUCAAACCAUAAAUUUUAUCCUUUAAAAAAAUGGGUAUGAUCCCUUUGAAAAAUCCCAUUUGAUGAUGAGAAGUUUGGUCGUGGAAAAUACAUAAAAUUCGGGAUCCCCUUUUUUGCCUCAGGCUUGAAUGUGGGCUGGGGUCAGACAUUCGGAGCAGUGUGAGGGGCAAGAACCUCACGAAAGCCUCUCUGACUGAUGCUGCGGUGGAGCAACGAGAACACCCAGUGGCAUAAACGUUCAGAGACAGUGGAGAAAAAGGAAGGAGGAUGCACCCUAGUCCAUGACACCUGCCCUGCGCGUUGCUAGUUGGGGUCACGUGUCCAGCUUCUCCAAUAUGGCGGCUGCGUGCCCCGGCCCACUUGCUGUACUCUCCUCGUGGCCGGAACUGCGGCUCUCCCUUCACCUCACGCCCCAGAUCAAUGGCUCUCGGUGGCCAUUCAUUCAGAACUCCCUGAAUAAGAGUAUUUUGUGGUAAAUUUUGUUUGGGGAAUGCUGCAGGCUGUUUUCCCCUGCUGGAGAUUCCCAGUGAGUAUCAGCAGUUUUGAUACAGACUUUUUUUUUUUUAUAGCAAACAGCCAGCAGAGCCAGCCGCUGGGACCCAGGGGUCUGAGGUUGUUCCCAGGGCCCAGGUCAGGCGCUGUAACCCACACACCUAUCUCCAGAGACUCAUUUCCAACCUGCUCGGGACCCAAGAAGGCUCAGUUGUUCAGAUCUAAAAACCCAUUAAAUAAUUUUCCUCUCCAUUCAUUCUUCUAUAUGAUAGCAGGGAGAAAAUCUGCUUUUGUGCCAGACAGAUAUGCGGUUACUAAUUUAACCAGGGCCGCUUGGAGGAGGGAAGACUCUGUCCUGGCGCUGGCCCUCCUGUGCAAUUCAACUCGUGACCGAUCCUGCAGAUCACAGGAGACCCUGCAGCGCUGGAAGAACCCAGAGUUCAGGGCAAAGGGGAGCUUCGAGCACUCCCCAAAAAUAGGUCCUUGCCUGUCAUUUUUAAAUGAGGUUUCUUUUCUUCUCCCCAGCUUCUACUUUCUCCUAGGCAUGGGGUAA
rnacentral:lncRNA from 1 species